GUGAAUCAUCGAGUCUUUGAACGCACAUUGCGCCCUCUGGUAUUCCGGAGGGCAUGCCUGUUUGAGUGUCAUUAACUUCUCCAUUUAUGGACGUUGAGGUCUGCAUUGCGAUGCUUCCUCGAAUUACAAGGGUGCAGCCUUUGGCUGUCGACAAUGUAUUAGGUUUCACCACUCGUUGUUUGACUGUCAUUUUGUGCGGCACCGAAAGCCGUCUUGCAUUUCAUGCUUGACAUUUUUCAACUAUUGACCUCAGAUCAGGUAGGAAUACGCGCUGAACUUAAGCAUAUCAAUAAGCGGAGG
rnacentral:rRNA from 1 species